CCUGGUGAUGAUGGCGGAGAGGAAACACCCGUACCCAUACCGAACACGGCAGUUAAGUCCUCCAGCGCCGAUGGUACUAUCCCUUAAGGGAUGGGAGAGUAGGUCGUUGCCAGGA
rnacentral:rRNA from 1 species